AAGACAAGUCAGGGCAGGUCAUCACGAGUCUCGGUGGAGCGAUGUCGCCGUCAGCCCCGGCCGUUGUUUCUGGAAUGUUCCACGCCAGGCGGGGCAGACACGGCGAGGCGGCACGGGAUUUAAAUAUCCACACGAGCGAGGGCUCGGGAGGGGAGAAGCGUACUGCAACUUACAACUUGAUCACCUGACAACAACUUGUUGACUGCAUCUGGCUUUCACGUGAGACCCAGUCGCUCUCUUAAUUACAGCUCAGAUCGGGCCAUCACACAAAGAACAUUUCUGAGAGCAAUGGUGUCUUGAACAAGGGUUACAAUCAUUUGGACACUUACAACAGAGAUGAGAAGAAAUGUCUUCACCCAGAGGCUGGCAAAUCUUUGGAAUAUUCUAAACGUAAGGCUGAAGAGGCUCAGUCAUUAAGAAAUAUAUUCUUUGAUGUAAAAGAAGUCAAGUAGUUUGGGGAUUGUGCUGUGAUUUUAUUGAAUUGCAGUGCAAGCAUGAGGGGCUGAAUGGACCACCAUAGUUUCUGUUUUAUGUUCAUAUGUUCCCUUCCCUUAUCUCUGUUCCAACCUCUCAUCUUCCCUCAUUUUCUCUCACUCACUUCUCCCUUCUCUCACUCUGACGCUUCUUUCUCCUAUUUUGAUUUCCCCUUUCUCAUUCUUACGCCACCCUCCCCCCAUUCACUACGUUUUCCAACCCUUCUUAAAAAUCAAUUGAAAAAAAAUGAUGUUGGAUUUGAUUUUACAUUAGACCAAAAGACCAAAACAUAGGAUUUUCAUAGCUCAGAAUAAAAAGUUACUUAUGAUUAAUUUAUUUGAUCCCAAUUAGUUAUUUUGACUCAAAAAUGUUAACUUUGCUUCAAAUGGUUCUAUAUGAUUGCUAAGUGAUUCAGUAUGAUUUACUAUGAGGAAAAAGUAUGCCAUCUUUCAGAGGAUUUGAGAUUUGAUUUUUUUUUCUCCUAUCAGUUAUAGUAAAUAGAUUAAAUGUUUCAUUUCCUUUAUUGCUAUCAAUUCUGCCCCCAAAAUCUUGUGAAAUCAAAAAAAUAUCAAAGUUCAUGAGUGUACUUACUUGUUAAUCCUUGAUUUAUAAAUCUAACACUUUAUAUUUGCCAAUAUGCUUACU